rnacentral:rRNA from 1 species
UACGUAGGGCGCAAGCGUUAUCCGGACUUAUUGGGCGUAAAGAGCUCGUAGGCGGUUUGUCGCGUCUGCCGUGAAAGUCCGGGGCUCAACUCCGGAUCUGCGGUGGGUACGGGCAGACUAGAGUGAUGUAGGGGAGACUGGAAUUCCUGGUGUAGCGGUGAAAUGCGCAGAUAUCAGGAGGAACACCGAUGGCGAAGGCAGGUCUCUGGGCAUUAACUGACGCUGAGGAGCGAAAGCAUAGGGAGCGAACAGG